rnacentral:lncRNA from 1 species
CGGUGCAGCAGCCCCGCCGCGGCUCGGCCACCAUCGCCGAGGCGCCGCUGCUCCCGCAGACGCUCGCGAGCCGCCCCCCGCGCUCUCAGCCGCCUUUCCUCCCGCACGCCCGAGACGUCCGCCCGCCUCGGGUCUCGCCCCCGCCUCCGCCUCCGCCUCCGCCUCCCGCGUCCUCGCCCCUCGCUCACCUCCCACACCGUCUCUGCCUCGUUUUCUCUCCUAGUUGAGGAAAAACAAAAAAAUCACCGUCCUCCUCAGGGAGCCCCCCUCGCCCUCGGGAAAACAAAACCAGACAUGAGCCUGGGCUCCCGCCCCUGAGGGGUCGGCCGAGCUAGGAGCAGGGAGCCGAGCGCAGGCCGCGCGGAAGGUCACGGGGAGAAGCCCCUCAGCCCCCAGCUCUGCCCGCGGCCGGCCCCGUCGGCCCGCGCCCCGCGGCCCCCGCCCCGCGGGCCUCCCGCCCGUCCCCGCCGUCCCGGGAGCCGCCGAGCACACCUCCAUUGAUGGUGUAGCGCAUCCGGGAAGGAGGUGACUGUUCAGGAGUAACUGAAUGUGCACCUGUGACACUGUGUCACCAUCUCUGCAGGAUCCAUUUACAGAGACGAUUUGUGGAGGACUUUAGCCUCCUGCUCAUGGUGUUACUGAAAAAGGAACUGUGGCCAUUUGAUGUAAUUCUGGACAGAAGGCCUGUUGUUUGUGUUGAAUUAGAGGUCAGUAUUUGAAAUUUUCUGUUUUAGUGGAUUUUAUAAGAGGUCCAUAAGAGUAAUGGAUGACUAUGAAAUUAGCCAAAUGCAUAAUUAAAGGUAUAUGACUGUCUGGUUUCUGCUGUGAAUUACUGAGCUGGCAUUUGUUUUUAGAUGCAUAAAACAAGGUAUACACUUGGUACUCUUUCACUUAUAAACUUAAUGGGUUGUGAAAAGGUAUAACUUGGACUUCGUUAAGUGAAGAAGGCGCCCUUCUAAUUUAUCUUUCUCCGUGAAGUUGCACCUGUUUUGUUCAUGAUAAAUACUGGGAGAGGAUUGUUCUAAGUUUAUAGUGAUGAUGUACUUUAUUUGUCCUUAGAUUGUUUCUGACGAAGCUUUUUUCCUCCAUAUUUUCUGUUUUUGCUUGAUUUUUAGAGAAUUAUAGGUUUGAAAUUGUCUCUUUCUUCUCAAAUACAGCAUAUUCCCUUUUCUUCUUCAGUGGUUCCUAGGGGUGUGCAGAAAUGAUGUGUGUAAUUUGAAAAAAGAUUUCAGGAGAAUCUUACUUUCCAUGUACCUGUACUAAUCAUGAAAAGGAAAACUCAAUACUGUUUUUCCGAAAGGAUAGACAAGGUGAUUAAUAUAUAAAAUGUAAUGAUUAUUAUGGAAAUCAUCUGUAAUUUCAGGCCAUAGCUUCUAGGUGUCUGCUCUCAUCUGAGUCUCCUUUCCUUUGGGUGGUGAGUCGUUAGUCAUGGAACAUCUCAGUAUACCCUGGGCUUGUCCAAUCAUUCGGUAGUAAUUUUUUUUAGUGUCUCCUGCAGGGCACUGUACUAGGCCCUGGGAGCACAAAGAUGAGUAAGAUGUGUCCCUGCUCUCACAGAGUUCAUGACCAAAAGGAGGGAACAGAUACGAAUAAAAAUCACUAAAAUACAGUCUGAAAAGAAUUGUAGUAGAAGUAGAAGCAUCAUGCUCUCACAGUGCAGAGUGAGAGGUGUGCGUGCACCCUGCACGUUGACAUGGCGUUUACGGAUUAAAGCAACAGGACAGGACGUCUUUACUCCUUGGUCAAUAAAUUGGUUCUUCAGCCCACCUUCAGACCAGCUGCAUUUAUUGUGGAUGUGUGGCCCGAUGUAACUGAGGUGAGGUUUCCCGUGUCACUAAUAGUUUCUAGGGAGUAGAGGGUUAAAUCUCUUUUUGGAAAAGGUUGGGCACCCUAACCCUGGAUUCUACUGAACCCAAAGUACUUUCCUAUAUGUUUUGUUGACUCUUAAGAACAUUCUCUCAGAGCUUGUAUAAAAAUAAUUUUGUCUUUUUUUCUUGAGCGCCUUCUUUAGAAAAAGAACUCUUUUCAAAUAAAGAAAGAGUCUUAUACCAGAAGGACUUAGAAUUGCCCUUGACCUUCUCUGCCUUGGGAACCAGCAGACAUUUUUUUGUGGACACCUGCUACAUGUGAAUUAGGUGUUGAUCUGGUUUGCAUGUUUUCUUCUUUGGAUGGUGGAGGAACAUAGUAUUUGGUUUUUCAAUUUAUUCUCUCUUGCCAACCUUUUUUCCGUCCUAAGUAAGUAGUAAAGCCUGACUUUUUUUCUUCCUGGAAAAUGGCUUACUUUGUUUUCAGAAAAAUUAAGAUAUCUCUGUAUGGAGGAAUUGAAACAUUGUUUACAAAUAAAUUUAUUAGCAUUUAAAAAAAUGACACAAAAGCACCUUGGGGCUUUAUUAAUUAAAACUAAGCUGUUAGUCUUACCUAUCACCUCCAUAUUUCUCUUACUGGCAUUAAAUCCAUUCAUUUGCCAAAUAGAUUUAUUAUUUAUUUGUAUUGUUAUUUAUUAUUUGCUAGAUGGUGUGGGAGGUACUGGGGAGACUUGCAAUAUGAUGGUGGUGUUUGCUUGCAUUAGGAAUUUUUCCUUUUAUUUAGGAUUUUUUUUUUUGUCGUUCCUUUAACUAUCUUGCAUUAUGAGUAUAUAUACUCUGUUUCCUGUUCCAAAGGAGCACAUAAAUUCAGUCCUAAUAUUGGGGCUUAAACCUAUAUUUCCAGAGAGAAGCAGCUGACACUGAAUUCUGCCUGGCUGAAUCUUCCACUCAGGAUUUAUCAGCCAGCCAACAAGUAUUGGAUGUUUUCCAAGUUUAAUACCAAUAUAAGUGGAAUAUAAAGGAAAUAAAAGUUAUUAUUUUUGGCCUCUCAGUUUAGUAGGCAAGCCUUGCAAGAAUACAACAUUUAGAGAUUUCUAGAACAAAAGUGGAACUACUUAUUCUUUAGCAUAACAAAUAUAGUUCAAAUUCAGAUUAACUAGAGAUUAUCAUGGGUUAAGGAAAUUGGCUAAGGAUUCAUUGAGAAGCUAACAGUGGGGCCUUGAGAAUGGGUGCUGUUUGAAUAGGAACUGGGAGAGAAGGUUAGGACAGUCCAAGCAGGGGUCAGCCUGACUCGAGUGAGUAUGGUAUGCACAGGGUCAAGUAAAGAGAGCCCAGUUGGAGUAAAGAAUCUGUGGGGAGGAAUGGGGUGAGAUAAGUUAGGUAGACCAGUUGAUAGAGGCUUGGAAUGCUAAGCACAGAAUUCCUCUUGGCACCUGAGAGGAUGUGGGGGAGAAGUAAUAAAGUAGCGAGGCAGCCAGAGACCGUGGAGGACUGAGUACUUUUGGCCCCAAAUUUGUAAUGUAGGAAUAGGAAAUAUGCUGGCCAGUCCUGGGAAAGAUGCGUGUUUGCACUUGUGUGCUGUGUUAAAAUUGCUUUCUGUCCCUACUUGCGUUUGGUCAGACGGUAAGAUAGACUGAAGGAAAGAGAAAUAGCCACAGGACAAAAUAGGCUUUUAGAAGUCUAAUUAGUUGGUGAAGUAUCACUGUUAGUUUUUAUUUAGUAUCAUAUUUCAUAAAAAGUAAAAUUUUACCAAAAAUCCUACCACCAAAUAUAGAAGUUAUUUUAGUUUUUUAAAAAAAUCGUAAGUCCUGGUUUACAUAUGGUUCAGUUUCAUCUCUUCUCUUGCCUUUCAUCCCAAAGAUCUGCUCUGUUUCAUACCUCUUUAUCUCUACGCCCACCCCCCGCCCCUCCCCCCCCUUUUUCCUAUCUUCUGUUUAUUCUUCGGAUCUCAGUUAAGGCAUCAUUUCUUCUGGAAGGCCUUUCCUCAGUCAGAGUCAUCCCCAGCUUUGCUUUCCCGUGGCACCUGUACUGUCCCGAGACAUCUCUUGUUAUACUGCGCUGUAAUUGCACGCUCAGCCUCUGCUACCCUGGGAACUCAGAGAGUUUGGGGAUUAGUCUUGUUUACUGUGGAAUCCUUGUCUUCCAGGUCAGGUCAGGCACAUGCCACAUGGUUAGUAAAUAUUUGAGUAAUGUAAAGGUUGGACUUAUUUGUCAUUGUAAUUAAU